rnacentral:rRNA from 1 species
GACGAACGCUGGCGGCGUGCCUAAUACAUGCAAGUCGAACGCAGUGGGGACGGGUGAGUAACACGUUUGUAACCUCCCAUCAGAGGGGAUAACACUUGGAAACAGGUGCUAAACCGAUACUGAUGGAUGGACCCGCGGUGCAUUAGCUAGUUGGUGAGGUAACGGCUCACCAAGGCCCCGAUGCAUAGCCGACCUGUGAGGGGGAGCGGCCAAACUGGGACUUAGAUAAUGGCCAGACUCCUACGGGAGGCAGCCGUGGGGAAUCUUUGGCAAUGGACGAAAUUCUGAUCGAGCAACGCCGCGUGAGUGAAGAAGGUUUUGGGAUCGUAAAACUCUGUUGUUAGAGAAGCGUUAUCUAACCAGAAAGCCAUGGCUAACUCCGUGCCAGCAGCCGCGGUAAUUC